CGGACUCCACAAUCCACAUUCCCGCAGGAGAAAAACAACUGGUUAGCGGCCUCUUGUCCUCAGCAUGGAAAUGAGGAAAUCAAGGCAGAGAGAGUUGAAAUAACUUGCCCGAGAGUACCCAGCUACCAAGUGGUGACUCCAGAUUCAAACCCAAGGAUUCUGACUCCAAAGAAUAGAGACCCUACCCAACUGAGAGCACUUGACCCGUAACUCUGGUUCUAAAGCACUUCAGUCUUGGAAUGCGGGCACCCCAGGACCCAGGACUCAUGGAACGAUAAAAUAUGAUGGCUCUGACUUCAGAAGUUGUGGUAACCUUAUUGUGUAUGUUCAUAUUCUCUGUGCUGAACGGAUGACCCACUUCCAAACCAAGAGUACAAAUUACAGAUGAACAUCCCAACUGCAUUUCAUUUUCCAGCCUCACUAGACUGGGAGUCCAUGAAAAUAAAGAGUGUCAACACAGCACCUCUCAUGGACGCAUGGAGGUGGUCUCCUGGCCUCUUCUCCAUUUCUUGGUUUGGUUCUCACCUUGUCCUGGCCCUGAUUUCCCCGUACCUCUUGGAUGAA